AAGGAUCAUUAACGAUUUCGGUGUAAAAAACCGUUUUCUACCUAUGUCUACGCGUACCACUUGUUUCCUCGGGGGGCUUGCCCCCCGCUAGGACCCUUUAUCAAACCUUUUUGUAAUAGCAGUCAGCGUCUGAUACUAAGUUAAUUAUUAAAACUUUCAACAAUGGAUCUCUUGGUUCUG
rnacentral:misc_RNA from 1 species